AGAUCAAAUCCUGCCCUUGGAGGAGAAAACUCUGGCAAGUGUUGCCCGGCUUUUUCUCCAUGUAUAAAAUAGUUCUCGGUUCUUUCCUCACUGCUAGUUUCACUAAAAUAUUUUCGAUAUCAGUCAUUCUUUUGAAAAGAAAAAAAUUACUUAGUCAAAAGCUAGUGGUGAGUCACCACUUACAUACGUAUGGUGGGUUUUUUUUUUAACAAGCCACAGCUCUUUGGGCCUUGUUACUGUUAAGUUAAAUUAGCAAUUUUAUUCUUUGGAAAAACUCCCUUAGCAACGCACUAAAAUGGCCUCCUAAGCAGCGAAUCUGAUGAGAUUUAAGACCAAAACGCUAACUGUAACUGGUCUUCUGGUUUUAAUUCUCAGUAAUGGAAAGACCCCUUACCCUUCCUCAUAUCCACGACAGGAAUAGGUGGGAGAGGAAACUGGGAUGGGGAAAGACUUCAAAGUCUGAGACACACUCUAUUUAAAAUGCAUUUUAAAAGAACCAGGUGGCUAGCGCUGGUUGCCCCUCGUAACCACACCCACACGAUGGGAGCACUUCCUCCGGCACUUCCUGAGACAGGAGUACUGACUUCUGGGGACCAGCAGGUGUUUCUGAAGUGAAAACAGCCCAAAACUCGAGAAAUCCUCUAUAUAAAAUUUUAACUUAGGCCUUUUUUCCUACUUUGGUUUUUAUUUUAUUCAUUUUAUUUUUUUGAGAUGGAGUUUUGCUCUUGUCGCCCAGGCUGGAGUGCAGUGGUGCAAUCUCGGUUCACUGCAACCUCCAUCUCCAGGGUUCAAGCAAUUCUCCUGGCUCAGCCUCCCGAGUAGCUGGGAUUACAGGCACAUGACACCACGCCAGGCUAAUUUUUUUUUUUUUUUGUAUUUUUAGUAGAGACGGGGUUUCACAAUGUUGGUCAGGCUAGUCUCGAACCCCUGACCUCAAAUGAUCCACCUGCCUGGGCCUCCCAAAGUGCUGGGAUUACAGGCAUGAGCCACCGGCCAGUGAUAUUUAUUUUUAAUGUAUAAACUGAUGCAUAUUUACAGAAAAAAAUCUGAUGGAGGGGAAAUAACUUUUCCUCACACAAUUAGGAAUCACAAAAGGAAUUAAUUCACCACUCAGAUAGCGUUCUGUGUGCUCUGAUCCAUCCAUCCACGUGAACUAAGGUGUUCCAGGAGGUUAGGUCAAUGUCAGAACCUGCUCAGAAAUUUGGUAAAACAGUGCUUCACCAAAAACAUCGUCUUACGCUACAAACCAGUGGGGUUCUACGUUCCAUCAUUAGAAGUAAUAAGUACAGUCAUGUGCCACUUAAUGAGGCGGCACAUUCAGAGAAACGUAAGGUGGCCUCGUGGUUGUGUGAGCAUUGUGGAGCGCACUGAUACAAACCCGUAUGGCGUCGCGCCUGCAUGCCUGGGCUGAACGGAGACCUGGAUGGCGUCACCCUUACGUGCCUGGACUGAACGCAGACCUGGAUGGCGUCACCCUUACGCGCCUCGGCUGAACGCAGACCCGGAUGGCGUCGCCCCUACACGCCUGGGCCGAACGGCAUAGGCCUCCUGCUCCCAGGCUGCACCUGUACAGCGUGUGACUGCACUGAAGACUGUAGAAAACUGUAACACAGGGUAUGGAAGCCACAGCAAUGAACAAGACACAAUCCUGGACCCCAUGAGCUCACAGAACAACUUAUGAAAUUUUCUGUCUCACCUCUGAAGCCUCAGAUAACUGCUACACUGCUUGCAGUCUGGUGCUGCCCAAUUUAUGAACUGCUGUCUGUUCAAAUAAACUCCACAGAAUUUUAA